UGUUCUGGAUUUAUAAAAUGGACAUGCGUAUCAAUCCCGCCAGCAGUGAUUAUCUUUCCUUCAGCAGAAAUAACAUCUGUUGUAGCACCAAUAAUGAUGUCGACAUUAUCCAUAAUAUCUGGGUUACCAGCUUUACCAAUUUUCAUGAUAUAUCCAUUCUUUACGCCAAUAUCCGCUUUGAUGACUUUGUUAUAGUCAAUAAUCAUUGCGUUUGUAAUGACUAAAUCUGCGACUUUCUUGUCAUCGCGUGUCACGUUAGGAUUUUGGGCCAUACCGUCUCGAAUA
rnacentral:sRNA from 1 species